UACGUAGGGACCAAGCGUUGUUCGGAUUUACUGGGCGUAAAGGGCGCGUAGGCGGCGCGGUAAGUCACUUGUGAAAUCUCUGAGCUUAACUCAGAACGGCCAAGUGAUACUGCAGUGCUAGAGUGCAGAAAGGGCAAUCGGAAUUCUUGGUGUAGCGGUGAAAUGCGUAGAUAUCAAGAGGAACACCUGAGGCGAAGGCGGCAUCCUGGACCAAUACUGACGCUGAGGAGCGAAAGCCAGGGGAGCAAACGGG
rnacentral:rRNA from 1 species